rnacentral:rRNA from 1 species
CAGUCGCCGCGGUAAUACGAAGGGUGCAAGCGUUACUCGGAAUUACUGGGCGUAAAGCGUGCGUAGGUGGUGGUUUAAGUCCGUUGUGAAAGCCCUGGGCUCAACCUGGGAAUUGCAGUGGAUACUGGGUCACUAGAGUGUGGUAGAGGAUAGUGGAAUUUCCGGUGUAGCAGUGAAAUGCGUAGAGAUCGGAAGGAACAUCUGUGGCGAAGGCGACUAUCUGGGCCAACACUGACACUGAGGCACGAAAGCGUGGGGAGCAAACAGGAUUAGAUACCCCAGUAGUCUCUGUCUCUUAUAC